UACGAAGGGGGCUAGCGUUGCUCGGAAUCACUGGGCGUAAAGGGUGCGUAGGCGGGUUUUUAAGUCAGGGGUGAAAUCCUGGAGCUCAACUCCAGAACUGCCUUUGAUACUGAAGAUCUUGAGUCCGGGAGAGGUGAGUGGAACUGCGAGUGUAGAGGUGAAAUUCGUAGAUAUUCGGAAGAACACCAGUGGCGAAGGCGGCUCACUGGACCGGCAUUGACGCUGAGGUGCGAAAGCGUGGGGAGCAAACAGG
rnacentral:rRNA from 1 species